CCUACGGGAGGCAGCAGUAGGGAAUAUUGCUCAAUGGGGGGAACCCUGAAGCAGCAACGCCGCGUGGAGGAUGAAGGUUUUCGGAUUGUAAAAUCCUUUUGUUAGAGAAGAUAAUGACGGUAUCUAACGAAUAAGCACCGGCUAACUCCGUGCCAGCAGCCGCGGGAAUACGGCGGGUGCAAGCGUUACUCGGAAUUACUGGGCGUAAAGAGAGCGUAGGCGGGAUAGCAAGUCAGAUGUGAAAUUCUAUGGCUUAACCAUAGAACUGCAUUUGAAACUGUUAUUCUAGAGUAUGCGAGAGGUAGGUGGAAUGCUUGGUGUAGGGGUAAAAUCCGUAGAGAUCAAGAGGAAGACUCAUUGCGAAGGCGACCUGCCAGAACACAACUGACGCUGAUGCGCGAAAGCGUGGGGAGCAAACAGGAUUAGAUACCCUUGUAGUC
rnacentral:rRNA from 1 species